UUCCUAGCUUUUUGAGUCCAUUAGAUAAGUGCGCAAAUGUGCUAAAUGUUUAAUUGAAGCAUUUCUUUUUAUCUUAUAGGUUGUUUCAUGGCUUGGAAACAAGAAACUUUGAAUUGUUUCUUUCCAUGUGAAACUAUCUUUCCAUGGACUAAGAAAAGUUGUUUGUCGAGAGCUCAAGGGUAAGUGUAUAAGCUUACGAAUAUUAUAAAGUGAAGCAAUUUGUAUCGAAGAGUAAUCCUCUGCUGUGAAGUGUUCAUCCCACUGAAGCUUCCAUUGAGCACCAUGGACUAAGGAAAGAUUUUUUGUCGAAAACUAUUUGGAUUAUUUGAUGGUUAAAUAUCUAGGAAACUGCAGAAAAUAGUGUAUCAAAGAGUAAUCCUUCAUGAAGUAGCCAUCAUCGAAAGAUUAAUUCUUUGUCUAACAGUAACCAGACAUUUCUUGGCAAUUACAGAAGCAGUGAUGAUUGCCUUCACAAACGUAAUUGCCACAUCAAUAAGCACCAAAAAAAAUGAAAUGCAUAUUGCGUGAGUGUCUGAUCAGCGGUUUUACGAUUUCACCGGAAACAAUAAUUUGCUGGACGUCUUCGCCAAUUUUGAUCCGACAUUUACUUUCGUCGGAGUUAUCAAUGGAGCUCCAUUACAUCUCGCUCUUUACGUUUCGCUCGUCUCGUAACUGUCGGGUCGCCGAUAACGAAACCAACAAUUUGGUGACAUCAAAUUAACAUGUUUACAGAAGCAAGACAGUCUCAUUUUCUCAUAUGUUGAAUAAGUUUAUUGUAAGUGUAUCUCAACUACUUUUCAACGAAUUUAUUCCGCCAGCCCUCAUACAUACUGAGAAGUGGUCGAUGCUUUCGUAUU